ACGCUCGACACCUACGGGGGCAGCAGUGGGGAAUAUUGCACAAUGGGGGAAACCCUGAUGCAGCGACGCCGCGUGAGUGAAGAAGUAUUUCGGUAUGUAAAGCUCUAUCAGCAGGGAAGAAAAUGACGGUACCUGACUAAGAAGCCCCGGCUAACUACGUGCUAGCAGCCGCGGUAAUCUGAGCGGCUGGCAAGGC
rnacentral:rRNA from 1 species